rnacentral:rRNA from 1 species
CCUACGGGCGGCUGCAGUAGGGAAUUUUGCGCAAUGGGGGAAACCCUGACGCAGCAACACCGCGUGAAUGUUAAGCCCUUCGGGGUGUAAAGUUCUGUCAAUAGGGACGAAUUUUGACUGUACCUAUAAAGGAAGCACCGGCUAACUCCGUGCCAGCAGCCGCGGUAAUACGGGGGGUGCAAGCGUUGUCCGGAAUCAUUGGGCGUAAAGCGUUCGUAGGCGGUAUGUCAAGUCUGAUGUUAAAGCCCGGGGCUCAACUCCGGUUCGGCAUUGGAUACUGGCAAACUAGAAUGUGGUAGAGGUAAAGGGAAUUCCUGGUGUAGCGGUGAAAUGCGUAGAUAUCAGGAGGAACAUCGGUGGCGAAAGCGCUUUACUGGACCAUUAUUGACGCUGAGGAACGAAAGCCAGGGGAGCAAAUGGGAUUAGAUACCCGGGUAGUC